rnacentral:rRNA from 1 species
UCGGGAAUUAUUGGGCGUAAAGAGCUCGUAGGCGGUUUGUCGCGUCUGCUGUGAAAACUGGAGGCUCAACCUCCAGCCUGCAGUGGGUACGGGCAGACUAGAGUGCGGUAGGGGAGAUUGGAAUUCCUGGUGUAGCGGUGGAAUGCGCAGAUAUCAGGAGGAACACCGAUGGCGAAGGCAGAUCUCUGGGCCGUAACUGACGCUGAGGAGCGAAAGGGUGGGGAGCAAACAGGCUUAGAUACCCUGGUAGUCCACCCCGUAAACGUUGGGAACUAGUUGUGGGGUCCAUUCCACGGAUUCCGUGACGCAGCUAACGCAUUAAGUUCCCCGCCUGGGGAGUACGGCCCGCAAGGCUAAAACUCAAAUGAAUUGACGGGGACCCGCACAAGCGGCGGAGCAUGCGGAUUAAUUCGAUGCAACGCGAAGAACCUUACCAAGGCUUGACAUAUACGAGAACGGGCCAGAAAUGGUUCAACUCUUUGGACACUCGUAAACAGGUGGUGGCAUAGGUUGUCGUCAGCCUCGUGUCGUGAAGAUGUUGGGUUAAGUCCCGCAACGAGCGCAACCCUCGUUCUUAUGUUGCCAGCACGUAAUGGUGGGAACUCAUGGGAUACUGCCGGGGUCAACUCGGAGGAAGGUGGGGAUGACGUCAAAUCAUCAUGCCCCUUAUGUCUUGGGCUUCACGCAUGCUACAAUGGCCGGUACAAAGGGCUGCAAUACCGUAAGGUGGAGCGAAUCCCAAAAAGCCGGUCCCAGUUCGGAUUGAGGUCUGCAACUCGACCUCAUGAAGUCGGAGUCGCUAGUAAUCGCAGAUCAGCAACGCUGCGGUGAAUACGUUCCCGGGUCUUGUACACACCGCCCGUCAAGUCAUGAAAGUCGGUAACACCUGAAGCCGGUGGCCCAACCCUUGUGGAGGGAGCCGUCGAAAGGUGGGAUUGGUAAUUAGGACUAAGUCGUA